rnacentral:rRNA from 1 species
CCUACGGGAGGCAGCAGUGGGGAAUAUUGCGCAAUGGGCGGAAGCCUGACGCAGCGACGCCGCGUGGGGGAUGACGGCCUUCGGGUUGUAAACCUCUUUCGACCUUGACGAAGCCUUUGGGUGACGGUAGGGGUAGAAGAAGCACCGGCCAACUACGUGCCAGCAGCCGCGGUAAU